CUACGGGGCGCUGCAGUAGGGAAUAUUGGGCAAUGGGCGAAAGCCUGACCCAGCAACGCCGCGUGUGCGAUGAAGGUCUUCGGAUCGUAAAGCACUUUUCUGGGAGAUGAGAAAGGACAGUAUCCCAGGAAUAAGCCUCGGCUAACUACGUGCCAGCAGCCGCGGUAAUACGUAGGAGGCGAGCGUUAUCCGGAUUUACUGGGCGUAAAGCGCGUGCAGGCGGUUCGGUAAGUUGGAUGUGAAAGCUCCCGGCUCAACUGGGAGAGGUCGUUCAAUACUGCCGAACUUGAGGGCAUCAGAGGAAGGUGGAAUUCCCGGUGUAGUGGUGAAAUGCGUAGAUAUCGGGAGGAACACCAGUGGCGAAGGCGACCUUCUGGGAUGUUCCUGACGCUCAGACGCGAAGGCUAGGGUAGCAAACGGGAUUAGAUACCCCUGUAGUC
rnacentral:rRNA from 1 species